rnacentral:lncRNA from 1 species
UUUGUUUGGGUCUGUUGUUGUAAAAGACUGUUGGGUCUUGGGCCUGCUAGGAUUUGGGUUGUAAAUGGGUAGAGGGUUUGGGCCCUGGGUCAAAAUGGGCCUGUAACAAAAGGACAAGGGAUUUUCUUCCCUGUUAUAAUCUUUGAGCACUUACUAUCUACAUUUAAUCUUCCUUGUUGUAUUUACUAAGUUUUAUUAUUUAUUUAUUUCAAAUUUUGGAUAAUUUUUAAGUUUAAAACU